CUUGUUUACCUAUGAUAGACAUUUAAAAAACACACUUUUAUGUACCCUAUAUGCGUGCAAAGUUGUGUACACAGAUGCUAUAGACAUAUUAGAAAAUAUGGAGAACGAGAAUGUAUUGUUUUGGUCAAAAGCAGCUGGAACGUUCCUGGUAUCGUCAGCAGUGCUUUAUUUCGCCUGGAGAAAAAUAAUAGGCAAAUCUCCUAAGUAAGUUACAUUCUUAUUCACAUAAUUUCAUCAGCUCUAAAAGGUAAUCUUUUUUGGCGCGUUAUUUACUGAACAUCAACAUGAUCAAGAAAGAUAUUAUUCAUAGCAAGUUUAUAUAUACAUGAUAUACACGGGGAUGUUUCUGAAGUGAAAACAAAUAUUUUAAGUGGGUCGAACGUUUACGUACUACAUGAAUAUUAAUCAUGUGCGGUUUAUAUAAAACAUAAAACAUAACAUAUAACAUGUAUAAUAGUAAUUUGUUUAGCAAUUUUACUGUAUUCAAACGAUCACGUAAACAAACUUCAGUACUUUCGAAAUGUAUUUUUAUCAGUAUCAAUGUUCAUGUAAACAAGAAAGACACAAUGCAAUUUGUUAAAAUAUAUUAUGUUUUACCGAACUUUGAUUUUUACGGUACAAUCUCUUAAAUAUGAACAUAUGAAGGGACUCCAGAUACUUUAUAAUGUGAUGAAGUCAUAUAUUUUUAUUUCGAAACCAAAUUUUUUUUUAAUUUGAAAAUAAACAUAUGUUGACAGUUUUAGUUAACCUGGGUUGCGUUCAAUAUCGUAGAUUUGUUUUACUACUGUCAGAACGUGUAGCUAGCCCACUACUAGAUCUAGAUAGCAGCUAGGCUAUCUACACGGUCACUAGUCAAAUAUCUACUUAGCCCUUUGUAGCUGCUACGAUAUAAAGGCAACUCUGUAUCUUACUUUAAAAAAAGAUGCAAAAAUGCAACACACAUGAAAAACAUGCAUACUAUUUUUAGGAAGAAUUACCCACCCGAUACAGUAAUACUUCAUCAGAUUGGACGAGGUCAAUAUGCACCCAGUUUGACACCGUAUGCUAUUAAAUUAGAAACUUAUCUGCGCAUGGCAAACAUUCCUUAUGAAGUAGGUAAAAUUUAUAUAAAUCAUGUUAAAUCUGUAUAAUAAUCAGGAGCUCUACCUACUUUUAAACUUUUAAAUACAUGUAUAAAAAUUAAAUUUUGCUUUUUUUAUUAUUUGACAUUUAAUACUGUACGUGUUUGUUCGUUGUAUUAUCGGUCUUAAUGUGGCUCGGAUGUCUUCCUCAGAUAACUAUUGGUCUAGAUUUUUAAUAAAAUGUACAAAUUUUGUGAGUAGUAUGUGAUUAAUGUGCAAGUCUUUCGUAUUAAUAUAGAAAAUUUUAUAUUUUACUGAUGUAUUUACAGAAGAAGAAAAAAAAACCAAUAUUUUUGUUUCAUUCAUUUUUUUUACAAUUUCGCAGCAUAAGGGGAGAUAAAUCAGAGUAGGGAAAAUAACUCGAAUGAAGUAAUUUUUAUAAUAGAAAGUGUUGUGAGUUUACCUUUUUAAAUAUUUAGCAAGAAAAAAAUUCCGGUAACGCGAUUUUUCUUUUAUUUAUCGUGUUUAUCUGAAGGAUGUUAUAAGAUAUAUCAUCUCAUGUUUCAUCUUUAUAUUCUAUGGUGUAGAGUUCUUUUCAUCACACAAAAUUGGAUUUUCCAUACAUAUUUUAUACAAAAUCGAACAAUUUGGCACAACCUGUAGCAUGAAAAAAAAUUCGAUGAUCCAUACUUUUAUUAUAUAUUUAGGAAAAAGCAAGAUAAAAACUACAUUUUGGGAAAUCAUUAAAAAAAUCUAUGGUAUACAAAAUUGUAAGUCUGCUGACAGUUUACACACCGGGGUAUAAUCAGUCCAGAAAUCAGCACUUCUGUGUUGACAUCGGUAAUCAAUGAUAUGGGAAUAUUAAUAGAUUAACGAAUAAAAUUAAGAAUGGAAACGGGGAAUAUGUCAAAAAGACAACAAUCCGACCAAAGAGCAGAUAACAGUCGAAGGCCAACAUCUUUAAUGCAGCGCGAAUAUCCCGUACCCGGAGGUACACAACAUAUAAAUGAACUAUGUUUUUUUAAAAUAACAAGACUAACGAAAGCUAGAGGCUCCUGACUUGGGACAGGGUUGAAUCGUUCAACAUAUUAAGAAUUUUUUACCCAGAAUAUAUAUUAACUUUUCAAAAUUUUGGGUCCUCAAUGCUCUUCGAUUUCGUUCUUUAUUUGGCCUUUUAUCUGAGUAAUUGGUCUUUUGUAAACGAAAUGCGCGCCUGGUGUACAAAAUUAUAAGCCUGGUAUCUUUUACAAGUUUUGUAAUAUCUCCUGUUCACUGGGUAUUUAUUUUUAGAAUGUACAUAGUUUCUAUACUCCCAGCAAGAAAGGAAAAGUCCCAUGGAUUGAAUAUAAUGGAGAGGAGAUUGCAGAUUCUGAAUUUUGUAUAGAAUAUUUAAAUCAUAAACUAGGAAUCGAUCUAGAUAAAGACUUCACAGCAAAGGAAAAAGGAAUAGCAAGAGCUUUCCAGAAAAUGGUAGAAGAAAACACAUACUGGUAUGUCAAUUCUUUUAAACUCGGGCUCUUAACAGCUUCUAGUUAUUUGUUUCAAGUACUUUCCGAACAGAAUGACUUCAUAUUUAGUUACAUUUAGCAUAACAGUGACAACUUGUAACCUGUAAGGGAUUUGCGAAUGCGUCUGACAACUACUUUAUGUUCCCUAUACCUAACAAAUUAAAACGAACAAGUUAAAGAAUUGAAAGCGUCUUAGGCGCUUUUUUUUGGAAUUCACCAGGAAUACAUUAAGCCAAAUACUUGAAAGACGUGGAUGUAUAAGUACCGAAACAUUUGAAGAGUUAUGUGACAAAAAACGCCUAAAAAUAACCAAAUCCAUCUAACUUCAAGAUCAACUUUGUCUAAGGGAGUUGAAAUCUUAGUUUCUUUUUAAUUUCAAAGUUUAUAAACGGAAAGGUUUAUAAUAAAUCAUGUCAGUACCGAAGUACCGACUACUGAGCUGAUCUUCUACUCAUGGACUGAUCAUCCACAAGCUGAGGUCAAUUGCAGUAAAUCUAAAGAACGUCACAUCACAUUAACGGGUUUUUUAUGUCCCAUUUAUGGGCAUUAUGUUUUAUGGUCUGUGCGUCCGUCUAUUGUCCGUUCGUUAUUCCGUUUGUUCGUCUGUUCGUCAUUUCGUCCUUCUGUCCCGCUUCAGGUUAAAGUUUUUGGUCGAGGUAGUUUUUGAUGAAGUUGUAGUCCAAUCAACUUGAAACUUAGUACACAUGUUCCCUAUGAUAUGAUCUUUCUAAUUUUGAUGCCAAAUUAGAGAUUUUCUCCCAUUUUCACGGUCCACUAAACAUAGAAAAUGAUAGUGCGGAUGGGCAUCGGUACUGGGGACACAUUCUUGUUUCAAUAUUUGUCAAUAUACAGAAAAAAUAGUUGCUUUCUCAUGGACAGCAAACUUGCUAAUAAAAAUUAUCCUCACACCCAAUCAAUAUGUUUGUUUUUAUUCUUUUAAUUUAAAAAAGGAGAUGUGGUAUGAUUGCCAAUGAGACAACUCUCCACAAGAGACCAAAUGACACUUAAAUAUACACACUAUAGGUCACCGUACGGCCUUCAACAAUUAGCAAAGCCCAUACCGCAUAGUCAGCUAUAAAAGGUCCCGGAAUGGCAAAGGUCAAACAAUUCAAACGAAUGAACUAACGGCCUAAAUGUACAAAAAAUGACGAAAAACAAAUAUAGUACAUCAACAAACGACAACCAUUGAAUAUGUCGAAUUAUAUAAAUAAAUUAUAUGUAAAAGUUUUACUGUAGUAGGUUUUAAUUUUGGCUUUAAUAUUGGUUCACUUAUAGGGUCUUUGCAUAGGAAAUUUACACAUUUAUUCUAAAACGAGUUGUUGGCAUGAUACGGGUUAAGUUCUUCUCAUAUAUUUUAUGAUGAUAUAAUACUAAACCCCUAACGAGAGGGAUUGUACUUGAUAUUCAUAUGAUGAAGACAUAAUCUUUCAAUGAGUUUAAUUAAGGUCUGGAGCUGGCAUGUCAGUAACUGCUGGUAGUCCUUUGUGAAUGAAUGUAUCAUUGUCAUUUUUUCAGUUUCAUUUUUUGCAACCUUAUUUAGACAUCGGACUCGGACCUUUUUUUGAAGUGAGUUUUACUGUGCGUAUUGUUGUGGGUUUGUUUUUUCUACAUUGGCUAGAUGUAUAGGGGGAGGGUUGAGAUCUAAAAAAAAAUAUGUUUAACCCCGCUGCAUUGUUGAGCCUGUCCCAAGUCAGGAGCCUCUAGCCUUGUUAGUCUUGUACGUUUUUAAAUUUAAUUUCCUUGUGUAUAUUUUGGAGUAUGACGUUCAUUCUCAUUGAACUAGUAUAACCAUGACACUACAUGUAUCUCUUUGGACUGUUUAUGGUUCUGAGUGUAAACUUUGACUAUUAAUUAUUGCAUUUAUAACAGGGCACUUGCAAUGGAUAGAUGGGUAUUUGAUAAGGACUGGACAGCUUGUAAAGCUAUGAGAACUCCAACAUUGAUUGCUUAUUUUAUCAGACGGUCAGUUAGGAAAGAUACGUAUGCCGUUGGUAUUGGACGACAUAGUUCAGACGAGGUGUACCACAUUAUGGAUCUUGAUUUAAAAGCUUUAUCAGACUUCAUAGGUAAAGUGUUGGUCAUUGUAUUGAAUUGCUCACCUGGGAAAAUUAUAUAACGUUAUUAAGCAAAAUAUUGUAACUCUCACAUUCUGUCCUAAGAAAUAACAACAAUUAUUUAAUUGGUUCAAAAGUAAAAUAACAAAAAUGAAAAUUCAAAACGGAAAUACUCUUAUCAAAUGACAAAAUCAAAAGCUAGCUCAAACACAUCAAACGAAUGGAAAACAGCUUGGUACAGGGAAUCUCUUAUGUAGAAAAUGGUGGAUAAAACCUGGUUUUAUAGCUAGCUAAACAUCUCAAUUGUAUAACAGUCAAAUAAAAUUCUUUCAUAUUGUCAACAGUGUGUGAACAAAACAAACAGACAUAAUAGAUGAAAAUAUCAAAAAUGGGUAUAUACAUAGACAAUAGGCACAAAAAAAUAGAUUAAGAACAUAUAAGCAAAACUGAAAAAAAACUGAAAAAAAUUACAUCACAACAAAAAAAU
rnacentral:lncRNA from 1 species